rnacentral:lncRNA from 1 species
AACAAUAAACCUCAAUACCCCAUAUGGUAUGAGGGUGAAGCGGACCGUCCCCAUACCCCGUCCGGUAUGAGCGCCAAAACAUUUAAAAUCUCCAUACCCCGUCCGGUAUGAGAUAACAUUCUCGGUAGGGUUCCUUAUGAACCCGGUCCGUCCACCAUCUCUCAGGAUAUCUAGUGAGACUGUCAACUUAUCUAUUUAUCAAUUCACGCUCAUUUCCUAUUAUUUCUUAGCUUUCCGUUUCCCACAUAAACAUGAAUACUAAAGCAAUUAACGAGCAUCCAACAAGGUAAGCAUAUCAUUAUAUUCACAAAAUCAGGCCGAAAUGAACUAAACAGUGAUUCAUGCAUUCAAAAUCAUAAAAUAAAAUAAACCAUAUACCAUAAUGCAUUUAAACUGUAAAAUAAAUCAAAUAGGAACUGACAGAUAAAUAU